UUAGCUCGAUAGCUCCCUAUUCAAAUGAGGAUUCCUAUUAAGCUAAGGGUAGAAAUGAAAACAAGAGGCUUGCUUUCCCUGAGGUAAAGAUUAAUAGAGGCUAUUCUACUAGAUGUAUUGAAAAUUAUAUUACCCUAGUCUGCCCUAACUCGUGACCUAGACCUUGCUCUAGUUAUAUUGACUAUAAUUAUAUUAUAUCCAGGUAAAGAAUAUGAAAAAUUAUCAUUAGAUCUGGCCGAGUAAAGAAAUCUAUAUAGAUCCCUCCCAGGGAAGGAAUUAGCUCUAUCGUUGAAUCUAAAAUCUUAUCGUUAGCCCUAAGGAAAAGACCUCUAUUUUAUCUUAGCAUGCUUACUUAAAACAAGCUUGUUGCAAAUACUCCUGCAAUGACUGAUACGGAGACUACUCUACAGCAGGGUGGGUGCUUCUCAUAAGCUCAUAAUCAUAAGGGGACUGCUUGAAAGCUUGAUUUCUCACAAGCUAACUCACUUGCUUUUGUGUAAAGAAACUGAAAUGAAAGUCUCGAAUGAAGAGCGAGGAAAGCUUUAGCUUACUAGCUUUUUUAGUCAGAUCUGGAGAUCCUUAGUUCGUUAGCUUCUUAGGAAGGGAUGGGCUUUUUUUCUCUAACUGGCACUGGAACUGUAAGGACGAAGCACUCCAACUGGGGCGCAUAGACCUCCAAGCAACUCAAACUGGAUUGUUAAACUUGCCUUAUCUCGCAGUUUUCACUGGCUAACCCUACAUAGCUUGAGAAGAAAUAGUACUUCCGCGCUUAGCUUACUUGAUACUAGCUUGCCUGACCCGACAUAGGAACUACGAGGGAAAAAAAAAGGAAAUAAUUUUGAGUAUUCUCCAUAUAUAUAUCCUACUAUGGAAAUAUAUAGCCAGCCCUGGAGAUCGUUAGAGCGUCAGCCCAUUAACCUCCUUAUCCUCGAGACUCUCGUAACAGCCUCGUAUUAUAUCCACGUAUUAUCCUCGUGGUAUCCAAUAAUAGUCAUGUUAUCCAUGUAAAGCCACGUAACAGAAAGGUUAUACGCUUUAGACAUCUUAGACACGGUAUUACUACUAUGAAAGGUACAACUGCUAGUCACUCCGGGCCCUAUGAACGCCCUAUACAUGCUUUCGAAAAAGGAGGUCAUCCGAGAUUCUCCUUGCGGGAGGGAAAGAAACUCCAACAGGCUCGAAGGCAGAUUAUCUAGAUUGGCUUGCUCGAAGAAGGAUUUUUUCUGCAACUGGCGAGAAGGCAAAAGCGCUUAGGACUUGCCAUGGCUUAUAGCGCCUUUUAUUUUGAUCCAGCAGACCCAUAUCCAACCAAGGGAACUCAAACAGCUUUCAAAGAAGCUUUCCACAAAACAGAACAGGCUAAUAUGGGGAAUAAGGUAAGGCUUUCUUUCCCCCCUUCCCAAAAGAAAAGUGAUAAAAAAAAAAAGCAAUAUGAAUACCAGCUGCCUUCCUAAGCUUGAUUGCCCUAGGACUGUAAUGGGUUCGCCUGGAAAGAACUUCAAUCGAAGGAAUCUCAAUAGGACUGGCCUCGAAGUAAAGGCUAGCUCAGGUCACUAGCUUGAAAGCGGAUACCAAGAUUCCCAAGAAAAUAGAUCGCAGGGCAAGCAUGUCCGUUAUAGAGGGAAAUACAUCCAAGGUGACUAAAUCCACAAAAAAAGUAAUUGGCUUUCUCACAGGAUGGAUCUUGAACCUUCUAUCCCGCCAGCCAGCUUACUUCUUCCGCCCAUUACUACCCUUGCUUACUCUCCCGUAUUCUGAAAAAGCGAAAAGGUCUAUCCCCAUUGCCAACUUUCUUAGUCGUGGAAGGGGCUAUUGCCUUUUCUUUACUAGUUUUUAGAAUCUCUUAGCCCGGCUAUUACGUAUAUCCCGUAGUCCCUAUGUCUGAUGCUGGCCCUUUCGUCCUAGCUUUCAAUUCCGUAAGCAUUCAAAACCCUACCAUUGUUGCAAGGGAAUAGCUUUCCGGUUGUCUGCUAGCCUGUGUAAUAUCCCCCGGGGGCUUCUCUUCUUUUCUUCUAGCAUCUCCCGUAGCGGAGAAGCAUUUCCCUUUGCUUCGAAUCAAUCCUAUCCUCAGUAGGGGCCUAAUGCCAGUCUUCGAGGCAAGCGAAUCAAUCGUAUCAAC
rnacentral:lncRNA from 1 species